UACAGAGGGUGCGAGCGUUAAUCGGAAUUACUGGGCGUAAAGCGUGCGUAGACGGUUAUUUAAGUCGGGUGUGAAAGCCCCGGGCUCAACCUGGGAAUGGCAUUUGGGACUGCAAGGCUUGAGUGCGGCAGAGGAGACUGGAAUUCCUGGUGUAGCAGUGAAAUGCGUAGAUAUCAGGAGGAAUACCGAUGGCGAAGGCAGGUCUCUGGGCUGACACUGACGCUCAUGCACGAAAGCGUGGGGAGCAAACAGG
rnacentral:rRNA from 1 species